CCUACGGGUGGCAGCAGUAGGGAAUAUUGGGCAAUGGAGGCAACUCUGACCCAGCAACGCCGCGUGCAUGAUGAAGGUCUUCGGAUUGUAAAGUUCUGUGGUGGGGGAUGAACACAAUGACGGUACCCCAAUAGCAAGUCACGGCUAACUACUUGCCAGCAGCCGCGGUACUACGUAGGGGGCAAGCGUUAUCCGGAAUGACUGGGCGUAAAGGGUGCGUAGGGGGGUUAGUAAGUUGGCGGUGUAAUUCCGGGGCUCAACCUCGGCGCUACCGCGAAAACUAUUAGACUAGAGUGAAGGAGGGGUAAGUGGAAUUCCUAGUGUAGCGGUGGAAUGCGUAGAUAUUAGGAGGAACAUCAGGGGCGAAGGCGACUUACUGGACUGUAACUGACACUGAGGCACGAAAGCGUGGGGAGCAAACAGGAUUAGAUACCCUUGUAGUC
rnacentral:rRNA from 1 species